rnacentral:lncRNA from 1 species
AAAAAUUAGAAUAGACAAAAGUGGAAAGAAACAAAAAAUAGGAUAAAACAAUAUCAAAAAUAUUAUAAUAAAACAGAAAAAACAGAGGAGAUGAGAGAUUAGAAAAGAUGAAAAAGAAAGAAUAUAAGAGAUGCGUGAUUAGAGAAGAAAUGUGCGAUAAAAACGUAAUUGGAAGAGAAACUAAUAACAUAAAAAUGAGAAUAU